UCUGAUUUGUUAUUGAAUUUCUCUUUAAAUUAGUGAAGCUUUCCUUCUUCACAAAAGGAUUUACACUAAAUGGAGGUAAAACUUGAACCAUUCCUUUCUUCUGAAGAUUAUGGCAUUUCGAAAUAGAAUCUGUGUUCCUAUAACUAAAAUAUUCUUUAAAUUACCAAAGAACUUGUUGAAAGACUUGCUUAAAUAAAGGAGCUACAUUAUUUUGGGAUAUGAUUUUAUAUUUAUAUGUUGUUCAGGAACAUUGAUUUCAGAGAGUAACGGAUCUAUAGUGCAAUCUUAAUUUAGCAAUAAUAUAAUUACAUUGCUUAUUUAGAAUGCUGACUAUAUUUCUGUCUCAAGGCUCUAUAGGAACAAAGUAGAGGCUUAGAAAAUGGGAGAUUGUCUGGACCAUCUGCCACGGUAGAUAAAGCUCUGAAUCAUCAUUUGAGUACUGACCUUAAAACUUUCUCUUGCCCUUCCGUUGUGUUUAAUGACCUUUUUCAUCUCCUUGGUUGAGCCCUUACUUUUCUUGUUAUGACCAGCUCAAAUCCUGUUUAGUGGUAGAAAUCACCCUGAUGCUUUUAGACUUUUCUUCUUAACAUAUUGUUUUCUUUCAUGGCAUUGCUUUACCAAAAAGUAAAAUCACAGAAAUCAAUAAUUUGGUACUGUAUGCCCAAUUUGGCAAGUUUAUUUUAUAAGAAAUAUGAGGAAAUCAUAUCAUGAGGAUGAUUUGUGUGUGGGGAGAGUUACGAAAUGGUCAUGAGAAACACUUUUUUUUUUUAUCUUAGAGAUUCUACAUUGCAUUAACUGGGAUUCCAGUAGCAAUUUUCAUAACUCUGGUGAAUGUAUUCAUUGGUCAAGCUGAACUAGCAGAAAUUCCAGAAGGCUAUGUCCCAGAACACUGGGAAUAUUAUAAGCAUCCCAUAUCGAGAUGGAUUGCCCGUAAUUUCUAUGAUAGUCCUGAAAAGAUAUAUGAAAGAACAAUGGCCGUCCUUCAGAUUGAAGCUGAAAAGGCUGAAUUACGG
rnacentral:sRNA from 1 species